rnacentral:rRNA from 1 species
AGCGAACGCUGGCGGCAGGCCUAACACAUGCAAGUCGAACGGAUCCUUCGGGAUUAGUGGCGGACGGGUGAGUAACACGUGGGAACGUGCCCUUUGGUUCGGAACAACUCAGGGAAACUUGAGCUAAUACCGGAUGUGCCCUUCGGGGGAAAGAUUUAUCGCCAUUGGAGCGGCCCGCGUCUGAUUAGCUAGUUGGUGAGGUAACGGCCCACCAAGGCGACGAUCAGUAGCUGGUCUGAGAGGAUGAUCAGCCACACUGGGACUGAGACACGGCCCAGACUCCUACGGGAGGCAGCAGUGGGGAAUCUUGCGCAAUGGGCGAAAGCCUGACGCAGCCAUGCCGCGUGAAUGAUGAAGGUCGUAGGAUUGUAAAAUUCUUUCAGCGGGGACGAUAAUGACGGUACCCGCAGAAGAAGCUCCGGCUAACUUCGUG